rnacentral:rRNA from 1 species
GGGUGGUAAAUUCCAUCUAAAGCUAAAUAUUGGCGAGAGACCGAUAGCGAACAAGUACCGUGAGGGAAAGAUGAAAAGCACUUUGGAAAGAGAGUUAAACAGUACGUGAAAUUGCUGAAAGGGAAACGAUUGAAGUCAGUCGCGUGUGCUAGAACUCAGCCUUGCUUUUGCUUGGUGCAUUUUCUAGUGUACGGGCCAGCAUCAGUUUUGGCCGCCGGAAAAAGGCCUUGGGAAUGUGGCACCUUCGGGUGUGUUAUAGCCCUUGGUUGUAUACGGUGGCUGGGACUGAGGAACAUAGCAUGCCUUUACGGCGGGGCUUCGGCCACCUUCAUGCUUUGGAUGCUGGCGUAAUGGCUUUAAACGACCCGUCUA